UCCCCUUCUCCCUCGUGUUUCUUUAUCUAAAAAACAUGAAAAGUUGCUUCAAGAUUAAUGGUAACCCCCUCACAUUCGUGCAACCGCCUUUAUCUAAUUCAGAAUUUUUGCCUUUCGCUCAAGCUAGAGAUUCUCACUCAAGCUAGAGAUUCUCGCUCAAGUGAGAUAGCAGAUUUCAACAUGAAGAAACUCUCCUAGCUUGAGCGGCAGUUAUGGCUUGGGUGAUAGGUCUCUAGUAGGCUUGGCUUUUUACCCAUGAUCCUCUCGCUUGAGUGACAACUAUGGCUUAGGUGAGAAGUCUCCAGGAAGGUUGGCUCUUUUAGCUCUUUUCUAGCUUGAGUGAGGUUCUCUAGCUUAGGCGAGAGACCAAUGCUAACUUUUCCACAAGUCUUCUUCAAUUUUUAGCUUCUUCAACCUCAUUACCUUGGAAAUG
rnacentral:lncRNA from 1 species